AUUGAACGCUGGCGGCAUGCCUUACACAUGCAAGUCGAACGGCAGCACGGGAGCAAUCCUGGUGGCGAGUGGCGAACGGGUGAGUAAUAUAUCGGAACGUGCCCAGUAGUGGGGGAUAACUGCUCGAAAGAGCAGCUAAUACCGCAUACGAUCUAAGGAUGAAAGCGGGGGAUCGCAAGACCUCGCGCGAUUGGAGCGGCCGAUAUCAGAUUAGCUAGUUGGUGGGGUAAAGGCCCACCAAGGCGACGAUCUGUAGCUGGUCUGAGAGGACGACCAGCCACACUGGAACUGAGACACGGUCCAGACUCCUACGGGAGGCAGCAGUGGGGAAUUUUGGACAAUGGGCGCAAGCCUGAUCCAGCAAUGCCGCGUGCAGGAUGAAGGCCUUCGGGUUGUAAACUGCUUUUGUACGGAACGAAACGGCCCUUUCUAAUACAGGGGGCUAAUGACGGUACCGUAAGAAUAAGCACCGGCUAACUACGUGCCAGCCGCCGCAGUAACAC
rnacentral:rRNA from 1 species